rnacentral:rRNA from 1 species
ACGGGGUGMUUGCACCCASUGGYGAACGGGUGAGUAACACGUAUYUAAUCUACCUAUUAGCGGGGGAUAACAGUUGGAAACGACUGCUAAUACCGCAUACGACAUUUUCUGGCAUCAGAGAAUGUUAAAAGGUCCGUUUGGACCACUAAUGGAUGAGGGUGCGGCGUAUUAGUUAGUUGGUGGGGUAAUGGCCUWCCAAGACAAUGAUAYGUAGCCGAACUGAGAGGUUGAMCGSCCACAUCGGGACUGAGACACGGCCUGAMCUCMUACGGGAGGCAGCAGUAGGGAAUUUUCACAAUGGGCGAAAGCYUGAUGGAGCAAUGCCGCGUGACUGAAGACGGUCUUCGGAUUGUAAAGGUYUGUKUAAGGGAAGAACASUAAMGUAUWGRAA